GUUCUGGGCUUCUGGCUGCAUUCUAGGAAGAUCAUUCCUUAAAAGAAAUAGCCAUAUGGCUUAUAAGACAUGGAAUAAACUUGACAAGUGCUAAAGAUGCUCUUUGAUUUUUGUGUGGCAUGAGACCUCAGGCUGAAACUUCUCAUCUGAGCCAUUGAAGGGAGCCUCUCAUCUCUCCACUGAGAGGGGAGACCAGAAUGCUCUGUUUCUGGCAGGAAUCUGACACCACUUACUCCUUGGGUAGAAACUCCCCCAAGUCUGAACUAUGUGAUUGCCUGAGCCCUGCUCCUUGUUCAUUAAGACUGCUCCUCUGAAACGGAAUUGAUGAAUUUUUAGUGGCUAUUAGAAGCAUUUGGGAUCCAUAGGCAUCAGGGUUUGAUGCAUGGCCCUCAUCUCUGUGGGCUCCUGUGCAAUGAUUCUCAUCUGUCUUAGUUAGAAAGUGAAUUAAUCUUGACCUUGGCCUCAGGGGUGUGGUUCUCUGCCCUCUUACACAUCUUCAAUUCGCUUCUUUAUCAGAAGCACUUGUUUUAGGCCCAGGCUCCCCCAAUUUUAAUGACAUUUAGACAUUUGUCUUUAAGUUACAUUGCUUUGAUUUUAAUCAAAAUCUAUAUUUCUCGUAUUAUAUGUUUCCAGAAAGUUCUCAUUCUGGGUUGUAAUUUAAUUACAUGGAUCAUUAAAGCUUUGAAGGAUGCUAAUGGGCAGAAAAAAGAGACUUAACAAAACGAAAGUUAUUAUUAGGAAUUACAAAUCACUUAACAUUUCAACAUCACUCGUCGGAUGUGGGCAUUUUGUUGAAAGAGACCUUGUUUUGAACAGUGACAGUGCAGAAGACCUAUGGAAGAAACAAGCUUCCAACUUGAUUUCUAUUGUUAUGCAUGCAUAGCAAAUUAUUAAUUCUAUUCUAAUAGGGUAAUAGAUUUAGAAAUACUAUUAGCAGAAAACUUGAUGUAUUAGGCAAUACUACAUACCACAUUAGUCUAACCGCUCAACUGUAAUUUUUCAUCCAUACUUUCUUGGGAUGUAAAUAAAAUUGAUAUUAUACAAUGAAAAUAAAA
rnacentral:antisense_RNA from 1 species